rnacentral:rRNA from 1 species
AUUGAACGCUGGCGGCAUGCCUUACACAUGCAAGUCGAACGGCAGCGCGGACUUCGGUCUGGCGGCGAGUGGCGAACGGGUGAGUAAUACAUCGGAACGUACCCUGUUGUGGGGGAUAACUAGUCGAAAGAUUAGCUAAUACCGCGUACGACCUGAGGGUGAAAGUGGGGGACCGCAAGGCCUCACGCAACAGGAGCGGCCGAUGUCUGAUUGGCUAGUUGGUGGGGUAAAGGCCCACCAAGGCGACGAUCAGUAGCUGGUCUGAGAGGACGAUCAGCCACACUGGGACUGAGACACGGCCCAGACUCCUACGGGAGGCAGCAGUGGGGAAUUUUGGACAAUGGGGGCAACCCUGAUCAAGCAAUGCCGCGUGUGUGAAGAAGGCCUUCGGGUUGUAAAGCACUUUUGUCCGGAAAGAAAUCGCGCUGGUUAAUACCUGGCGUGGAUGACGGUACCGGAAGAAUAAGCACCGGCUAACUACGUGCCAGCCGCCGCCGUAA